rnacentral:rRNA from 1 species
GUUGAUCCUGCGGGAGGUUGCUGCUAUGAGGGUUCGACUAAGCCAUGCAAGUCUGAUAGCAAUAUCGGCAGAACGCUCAGUAACACGUCGUUAACCUUACCUAUGGUCAUCGAUAACCUCGGGAAACUGAGGGUAAACGAUGAUAAAAGAAUCUUUCUGGAAUGAUGUUUCUUUGAAACUCGUGCCAUAGGAUGGGGCGGCGGUCGAUUAGGUAGUUGGUGGUGUAAUGGACCACCAAGCCUACGAUCGAUACGGGCCUUGAGAGAGGUAGCCCGGAGAGGGACACUGAGAAACUGGUCCCAGCCCUACGGGGUGCAGCAGGCGCGAAACCUUUACAAUGCACGCAAGUGUGAUAAGGGAACCCUCAGUGCUCAUGUAUAACAUGGGCUUUUGCCAAGCGUAAAUAGUUUGGCGAAUAAGUGGUGGGUAAGACUGGUGCCAGCCGCCGCGGUAACACCAGCGCCACGAGUGGCAACCACGUUUAUUGGGCCUAAAGCGUCCGUAGUCGGUUUGGUAAAUCUCUUGUGAAAUCGUCGGGCUUAACCCGACGGCAUGCUCGAGACACUGCCUUACUUGAGACCGGGAGGAGUGAGAGGUAUUCCUGAGGGAGCGGUAAAAUGUGAUAAUCUCAGGAGGAUCACCUAUGGCGAAGGCAUCUCACCAGAACGGAUCUGACGAUCAGGGACGAAGGCUAGGGGAGCGAUCCGGAUUAGAUACCCGAGUAGUCCUAGCAGUAAACGCUGCGAGCAAGAUGUUGCACUUCUUAAGAGGAUGUGCAGUGUCGAGGAGAAGUCAUUAAGCUCGCCGCCUGGGAAGUACGGUCGCAAGACUGAAACUUUAAGGAAUUGGCGGGGGAGCACCACCAGGGGUGCGGCGUGCGGUUUAAUCUAACUCCACACAGAGAACCUUACUAGAAGCGACGGCAGAAAGAAGAUCAUGCUGAAGACAUUAUCUGACGAGCCGAGAGGUGGUGCAUGGCCGCCGUCAGCUCGUGCCGUAAGGUGUCCAGUUAAGUCUGGCAACGAGCGAGACCUAUACUUACUAUUGCUAGCAGCUACUUCGGUAGGACUGAGCACUUUGUAAGGACUGCCUUGGAACCAAGGAGGAAGGUGUAGGCAACGGUAGGUCUGUAUGCUCCGAAUCUUCUAGGCUACACGCGCGCAACAAUGGUAAUGACAAUGGGCUGCAACUCCGAAAGGAGAAGCUAAUCCUCCAAACAUUACCUCAGUUCGGAUCGCGGGUUGUAACUCACCCGCGUGACGCCGGAAUCCCUAGUAACCAGAGUUCAUCAAAUUCUGGUGAAUAUGUCCCUGCUCCUUGCACACACCGCCCGUCAAAUCAACCGAGCAGGACUUUGGUAAAAUCCAUUUUCUUGAAUAGAUUGAACCUAAGUUCAGUGAGGCGGAUUAAGUCGUCACAAGGUA